rnacentral:tmRNA from 1 species
GGGGUAGUAAAGGUCUCGACAGGGAUCUUGAAGCUUUAGAAGCGAGCCGCAGGAUGAUGCGUCAAAUCUCAAAUUAAAUUUAAACGCUGAAGAUAACGCGAGUCGCCUGAAUCUCCCUAUGGGUUCAGUCACCGGCUUCAAACACAUAGGACACGGCAUCUGCAAAGCUUUGAGCUGAUGUACGUAUCAUGAAGCUACUGAAACCGGAAGGACGUGCUCUUCCGUCCGGCAGAGGGAAUGAAAAACAGAUCACUACGCUCGUAGAAGGAGAGUGAAUAGGUUUUUGGACGCGGGUUCGACUCCCGCCUACUCCAU